AUGGGGAAGGGGCUGGGCGCAGCCCUGGCUUCUCUGCCUCUCCCCGGUUUCCACAGACAGAUCCUUGGUCAGGACUCAGGCAGUCAGUAUGACAAAGAGGUUCCUGAGGGAUCAGGACAAAGUCCCAGGUCCUGGGCAUGGGUCUCAGGGUGUCAGGUUCCAAGGGCCCGUCUGCACUGGGGAGCAGCGUCGCGGAUUCCCCCACUUUCCUGUGUUUCACCACUUAUCCCAACCUCUGUUGGGUCCUUCUUCCAGGAUACUCACCAGGCGACCCCAGUUCCCACUUCCAUUGGAUGUAGAAAAGACAAUCAGCGCCUUCGAGGUCCCGGUUCUAAAGUCCCCACGUACCCACCGGAACUCAGAUUCUCCCCAGACACCGAGGCUGGGGUCCUGACGCCUCGAACCCUUCUCCGGCUGCUCUUGGGGGACCCUGGCCCUGACCGAGACGGGGGCGGGUAAGUGCGGUGUCAAGAGUGAAACGACUUCUGCGGGGAAGAGCGAGGGGCCCGCCUGCUGGGGCGCAGGACCCCGGGAGCCGCGCCGGGAGGAGGGUCGGGCGGGUCUCAGCCUCUCCUUGUCCGCAGGCUCUCACUCUUUGAGGUAAUUCGGCACUGCCUUGUCCCGGACGGGCCACGGGGACCCCCGCUUCAUCGUCGUGGGCUACGUGGACGACACGCAGUUCGUGGGGUUCCACAGCGACGCCACGAGUCCGAGGAUGGAGCCGCGGGCGCUGUGGGUGGAGCAGGAGGGGUAGGAGUAUUGGGAUCGGGAGACGCGGAGAGCCAUGGCCAAGGCACAGACUUUCCGAGUGAGCCUGCAGACCCUGCUCAGCUACUACAACCAGAGCGAGGCAGGUGAUGACCCCGGCCCGGAGCGCAGGUCACGACCCCUCCCAUCCCGCCCAGACAACCCGGGCCACCCCCCCACCCCGCCUCCCGAGUGGCCGGGUCGAGAUCUGCCCAGAGGCUGCGGGACCCGCCCAGAUGCUCCACCGGGGAGAGCCCCAGGCACCUUUACCCGGUUUCAUCUUAAGUUUAGGCCAAAAUGCCUGCUGGUUGGUCCGGGUGGGGGCGGGGCUCGGUGGGCGGGGCUGACCUCGGGGACCGGGCCAGGGUCUCACAACCUCCCGGGAAUGAUUGGCUUCGACGUGGGGCCGGACGGGAGCUUCCUCCGCGGGUAUCUCCAGUUCGUCUAUGACGGCAAGGAUUACAUCUCCAUGAACGAGGACCUGCGCUCCUGGACCGCCGCGGACACGGCGGCUCAGAGCACCCAGGGCAAGUUCGAGGCGGCCAACGUGGCGGAGCAAUCGAGAGCCUACCUGAAGGGCGAGUGCGUGGAGUGGCUCCGCAGGCACCUGGAGAACGGGAAGGAGACGCUGCAGCGCGCUGCUACCAGGGGCAGUGGGGAGCCUUCUCCAUCUCCUGUCGAUCUCCCAGACGGGCCUCCCUCCAGGAGGGGAGGGAAAUGGGAUCAGCGCUAGAAUUCGCCCUCCCUUGAAUGGAGAAUGGCAUCCGUUUUCCUGAGUUUCCUCUGAGGGCCCCCUCUGCUCUCUAGGACAAUUAAGGGUUGAUGUCUCUGAGGAAAUGGAGGGGAGGCAGUCCCUGGAAUACUGAUCAGGGGUCCCCUUUAACAUCUGCAGCAGCUUUGGGCGCCUUGACUUUUUCUCUCAGGCCUUGUCCUCUGCCUCACUCACACUCAAUGUGUUGGAAAGUCUGAUUCCGGCUUCUCUGAGUCCCUCAGCCUCCAUUCAGAUCAGGAGCAGAAGUCGCUGUUCCUGCCUCAGAGACUAGAACUUUCCACGGAAUAGGAGAUUAUCCCAGCUGUCCGUGUCCAGGCUGGGAUCUGAGUUCUGACACUCCAGGUGUCCUGGCCAUUCUCAGGAUGGUCACAUAGGUGCCACUGGGGUGUCUCAUGAGAGAUGCAAAGUACCUGAAUUUUCUAACUCUUCCUGUCAGACCCCCCAAAGACACACGUGACCCACCACCCCAUCUCUGACCAUGAAGUCACCCUGAGGUGAUGGGCCCUGGGCUUCUACCCUGCGGAGAUCACACUGACCUGGCAGCAGGAUGGGGAGGACCACACCAGGGAAACCAAGCUUGUGGAGACCAGGCCAUCAGGGAAUGGAACCUUCCAAAAAAUGGGCAGCUGUGGUGGUGCCUUCUUGAAAAGAGCAGAGAUACACAUGCCAUGUGCAUCACGAGGGGCUGCUGGAGCCCCUCACCCUGAGAUGGGAGCCAUAUUCCCAGCUCACCAUCCUCACCGUGGACAUCGUUGCUUGCCUGGCCAUCCUGGGAGCUGUGGUCGCCGGAGCUGUGAUGUGGAGGAGGUUGAGCUCAAGUAGGGAAGGGGUGGAAAAAGAAGGAGGUACUUUCAGGCUGCGUGCAGCGACAGUGUCCAGGGCCCUAAUCUAUCUCUUGUGGCUUGCAAAGCCUGAGGCUGCUGCCUUGUGUGGGACUGAGAUGCAGGAUUUCUUCACACCUCCCGUUUGUGACUUCAAGAGCCUCUGGCCUGUCUUUCUGCAAAGGCAUCUGAAUGUGUCUGCAUCCCUGUUAGCAUAAUGUGAGGAGGUGGAGAGACAGCCCACCCUGUGUCCACCGUGAACCCUGUCCCCAUGCUGACCUGUGUUCCCUCCCCAGUCAUCUUUCCUGUUCCAGAGAGGUGGGGCUGGCUGUCUCCAUCUCUGUCUCAACUUCAUGGUGCACUGAGCUACAACCUCUUGCUUCCUUACUAAAAAUAAGAAUCUGAAUAUAAAUGUGCUUCCUCAAAUAUUUGCCAUGAGAGGUUGAUGAGUUAAUUAAAUAAGUCAAUUCCUGAAAUUUGAGAGAGGAAAUAAAGACCUGAGAAACUUCCAGAA